rnacentral:snoRNA from 1 species
AUCCUCAAGUUCAUAAGCAUGAUGAUUGGGUGUUCAUGCUCCAUGCAUGACAUGUGCCUCCUUUGAACCUUGUUACGACAUCAGCACAUUACCCAUCUGAUG